GAUGCAAAUCCAUACUUUAAAAAUUCGCCAUCACUUUUGACAACUUUUUGCUGCAUACACGUUUUCCGUGACAUGAAAUGCCAAUGUAAUUUAUCGUAAUAUCUGGCAACAAUUGUUUUCUUUAUUAGCGUAGUUCAUGAAAUUGUCUUGAACCUAAAAAUCUUCAACUAAAAAAAGAAGGAAAAAAAAAAUUCAAAAUGGGUUACUAUCUUCCAAAAGUUGUUAUUCAAAACAAUGUUAAUGUAUAGUAAGCCUUUAACCAAACUACCAGUUAUUCAAAAUUCAUUUGUGUGGCUAGUAGUUGUACAACUUUACAUUACAUUCACUUUAGGAUUUUCAUUCAGUGGCGGCUUGUGGGAGGGGCCAGAGAGAGUCCGGCCUGACACUUUUUUGCAACACCCUUCUGGCAAUCAUGAAUAUCUUUCAUGAUGUACUUACUAGUUUAAGUAUUUUGUGGCUUGUCCUUGCUUAAACUGAAUUUAUUUUUAUUCAUUUUAACAAAUAUUUUUUAAAGAAAUUUAAAAAAGGGGGAAUGGGUGCGAAUGCACCUUAAGUCGCCACACAUGAUCUGGCCCCCUAACUUUUUCAAGGCAUGAGCCGCCACUGUUUUCAUUGAAAUUAAAUUUCAUUUUAGUUGCUGUGUUGUAGUUGGAAUUGCUGAACAAUGAUUGUAUCGAAACCAAAAUAUUAAAAUAAGGCCCAGGUUUUGCUUUGAUUAAUACUCAAAACUGGAAAAAAAAAAACAGAGAGAUUACUGUAAAAGCCCUCAUUUACGUGAGCCCAUUGCAGCAGCAAAAAAUUUAAGCCAUGCAAAAUAUUUUAACCUUUUAUUUCACUUCAGUAUAAAAUUCGCAAAAUUUCCAGCUCUUGAAAUCACUAAUAUCUUGAUGUUGGCAAAAAUUAGGGCUCACAAAAAUAUGUGCUUUUACAGUACAAUUUUAGGACAACAUUGGUCAAGAAAGCAUAACUGGUCAAUUUUGUAUAGCAGGCUCUUGUCUCCAAAAAUCUGAUACAGCAAUGUGCUAUUACAUCUUGCUUUUUUUCAGAAUUUUUUAUGAUUAAACUUGAUUACUCAUUGGAAAAGUGACGACAUCAUUACCAAGCCUAAGCUACCGAGAGGAUCUGGCUAAUUGUUCAAUCAGUUACAGUUAAAAGACAAGUUUUUUCAAGACUUAGAAACAGAACUGGAAAGUUGUGAUAGACAUAAUUGAUAAGUCUGCUAAAAAAUGCACCAUACAGCAUGAUUCGUUUGUUUAAUAGUGACAUCAAAGGGAAGGAAUCGGAGUUUUCAUGCUUCAAAUGAAGUCAAAAAUGUUGAAUCUUAAAGACAUGAAAUCCUGCCUGUGUUAAGUAACAAGUAUUGGAUUGAUCUCAAGAAUUUUCAGCCACAUUUGUUUCACAAGAAACAGAUGGUAAGAUUGGUUCACUUCUAAAAAAUAUUUUUUCUUUUUUGCAAUAUCAGCUCUAUUUUUUUCAAUUAUUAGUUUCUCCUUAUAAUUCUUCAUCCAUGUGAUUAAGAGUUUCUCCUUAUAAUGAAUGCAUUAAUAGACAAAGCGCUAGAACUGUUUUAAAAAUGGCCUUAGCAUGUAAUUUUUAUUGGUAUCAAAUGUUGGAUAUUAAUUUAAAAAAUGCUUCAUAAGUUUAUUAGUUUUCAAAUGAAGCCUAUUGUUGAUCUCUGAAUUGAGCUUGAUUCUUGAUAAACAUAAAUUUGGAUACAUUUGUUCGAACUGGUGAAAGAUAUGUCUGACUGUAAUGUUUCUUCUUCAUUUGAAUUUCAAAUGUUCAUUUAGGAGGAAAUUUGGAUAAUUUAAUUUUUUACAAAAUUUUAACUCUGAAAACGAAACAUUUGCAACAUUUUGAACAACUAAAAAGAAACUUCACAAAAUUCAAAGUUAAAAAAUGGAACCUUGCUAUAUCUAUUGUAAAAGUAUCCAAUUUUGUUGAUCACACAUGUUGAUUUAACUUCCUCAUAAUUUAUUUUCAUUGCAAAUAUUAGUAUCUUUAUUUCUUACAGCUAAAUAAAUUUUACUGAAUAGACAAGUAUCUCAUUCAGGAACCACACUAAGCAUUCACAACUGCGCCAAAUGUGAUAAAAUCGUAAAUUUGGCAAACUAAAAUUCUGAUGUGGCAAAUUUUAUUGGCGAACAGAGCUCGUUGAAAUUUCCAGAAAAAAAAAAAAACCUCCCUGAUCCUCAAAAGAUUGUCAAAAAAAAAAAAAAAUAAAUAAAUAAAAAUAAAUAAAUAAAUAAAAAAAUAAACGUAAAUAAGUGUAAUUUAUCUUAAGUGUAUGCUGUACCUUUAGAGUAUAGUAAGUGCUAGCAUUUAAUAUUCAAUAAAAUUAUACUUAGUUCUCUGAUUAAAUAUUUCUACAGGAAAAAAAAUGUUAAAAUCACACAAUUAGUUAGUCUUUGGAUAAGACUUUUAAAAUCUAGCUACUACUAAAUUUGGCUAAUUUACUGGCUAACAAUUCGAAAUCCUCAUCGCUGCCCCUGCACCAAAAAAGAUACUAAUGAAAAAAUGUCCAGAAAUGCCAAGAAUGUAAUGCAAUACUGUAGAGAGAAAAUGUCAGAUGUCUUUAAUUUUACAAAAACAACUUAUGUUCUUAAUACCAAAAUUUGCAAUGGCAGUUUAAUUCUAUUAUGAAUAUUUGCCAUAAAGUAAUGUUCCUUUUAUGCGUUUUUCAAAGGGCACAGUGCCCUGCCCGUUUUUUAAAAACCAUUUUAUUUAUUUAUUUUGAGGGGAAAAAAAGCUUGCACAUGGAGCAAGAAACUAAAAAUUAAAAUGCUUGCCAAGCAGGAGCAGAAAAAAGUUCGUUUUUUUUUAAAGAGGGAAUCAAAUGAAACCAAUCAGAAAAUUUUCAAGUGACAGUGGUGAUCAGUAAAUGAUUUCAUUUUCCAUAAAACGAGGUUAGGGCAAGGGUCUUUGUGAUCCGAAAUUUCGUAAAAUUUUGCAUGUUUUCAAAAGAAAAAAACCUCCUUCAAAAAAAUUCCCCUUACUGUUAUUUUUUGUUAAAAGCACAAAAGUGCUGAAAAGAACAAUCUUUUUUUAUCCAUGACAAGAAUAUUUUUUGAUAUACUUUUUUACAUUGGAUCUCAGAGUUACUGAAUAAAUACCUAAAUCAUUUUCAACUUGACUUACAAUUUUGGGUGUUUCAUAAAAGAGAAUUGCAAAAAAAGAAAAAGAAACCCAUCAAGUUUUACUUCUUUUUUAGUCAUUGAGCAAUAUUAACACUGGAUUAUAGAUACUUUUUUAUUUAAUAUUUCUCCUCACUCAUGCAUAAAAAACAUAUUCAAUGCGCACUAUACACAGUUGUCCCAAGGGGUGCCUAUCUCCCCCAUCCCCCCAUGAGCAAGGGUGCACCCCUUAAGUAUCACAAAGAGCCAGCCCCCUAAAAGGAGAAAAAUACCCUUCAACCAAUUAAAAAUUUGAAUGGCGCAGUCUCCCCCCCCCCCCCCCCCAAGGUAGGCAUGCCUGGUUGUUCCAAAAAACUCUUGAGUAAGUGCCUUUUGAUUCACAAAAAGUGCCCGUUUUAAAAUUCCACCCUGCCCCUUUUUGAAAAAAAUGUGAAAACUAGAACCGUGGUGGCCUGAUCAGUAAGGCAUCGGACUUGUGACCGGAGGGUCCCAGGUUCAAUCCUUGCUGGUUGAAGAUCCACCGUCGUCAUUAAUGGUGUCUGGGCGGCUUUAAAUAUGCUCGUGGUCACAAUGUCGUUCAAAUGGAAAGGAUACCCCUAGGGGUGCUAGACCAGAAAGUUAUUCGGCUUCUGGUCUGGUUCUAAAUUAUUGAACCGUCCGUAGCUGGUGCUGCCAUCUAUCGAGCUGUCUGAGCCAAAUCAGACUUUCACCUAGAAAUAGGUGCUCGAUUAAAAUGGAAGCCGUAACCCCUCUGUGUUAAAAUCAAGUAGCAUUGCUACUUGGGUUCAGAUCUCCGAGUGGCAUAAGUAACGACAACACCAGCUAUAAGAUGUACCAUAUUUUAAAAGAAUGUAUUUCAGCCAAACUUAUUUAACGAAGUGCUGCAUGGUGUUCCUAUAAGUUAAUGAUAUUCUGUUUUUUAAAUUUUCCAAACUCCAAUUUUUUGAAAACUUAUUUAUUUUAAGGAUUAAAAUGAAUUUAUGAACCUUCGAAGAUUUCUAAUACUUCAAUUAAAUUUUCAUCACCUGUAACAUGCUGAAGGAACUGCCUGUCAACAUGGAAGGUAUGUUACUGAAAGUUGAAUGGCAGCGUAUGAGAUUUCAAUUUUUUCGAAUCUUGUAUUUAUUUUGUAUGUUUAAAAAAUUGGACACUCAGUAGCAUGUGCUAUGCAACAGUUUAGUUCUGGAAAAGAGGUGGAGAAUAUGAAGCAGUAAGCAAAAGGAUGGUUUUUAAAAUAUUUUGAGCAAAACACUUGCAAAAUUCAAACUCUGUCUGUCGUAAAAAGGUGAAGUGCAGUAUCUGCUUUUUUUUUUUUUUUGAAUUCUGCUUGAUUGUACAGACUUGCAUAUUUGGUUACUGUUGAAAAUGAAGCAAAAAAAAAAAAAAAAAAAAAAAAGCAAAUUCCAAUGUUUUUACUAUUAGUGGGGAAUUUCAACCAUGUUUCCUCACAUGUCUGAAACUCAUUUCUGCAGAUACGCAGAUACCUGAGCUUCAAUUUUCCAUAGCAGCUGUGUUUUCAAAAGUUUUUCAUAAUCAUGCUGCCUGUACUACUUAAUGAUUAUCCCUUGCUCAAAUCUGUAGUGUGAUUCUUCUAAUUUAAUGUUGUCAUUUACCCCACUUAGCAUCUUUGUGCUUCUACAAGAUAGGUUAAUGAAACUAAAAAGUUGUAUCAAAAAUAUUAUUGUAAAAAAAAUAAAAGAAAAACAAUGCCUUUUAAUUAGGUACAAAAGAGCAUUUUAUAUGUGGAGAUUGAAAGCUUUUUUUCUCAUGUUAUAAAAUGUAGUUGCUGUUUUCUUUAAAAAUAUAGGUUAUGACAGAUCUUUUAUUUGAGGUCUUAAGCACUUUCCUACAAUCUCUUGUAAUUUGUAUGAGCUUCUUAAAAUUUAUCAGUGUGUAAAACCUGUUAACUCUCGUAACCAGUCAAUUGCAAGAAGAAAUUAAUCACGAGAAAUCUUGUGACCCAUCCACAAUGUGUUAAGGAAUUGUAAUACUAAUUAAAUUUGCGAUAUGUUUUAAGUUGCCCAUCCUUCAGGUUAUGGAUGGAUGAGAAAAUAUUAGAGCUACUUGCUUCUGAAAAAUGAAAUAUUCCCACCUGUUUGUAUAUCCAGGAUAAAUUUACUACAAUUGAUACUUAUGAAAAUUAUCCUUUACUUGUGUGUGCAGUGUUUGAUUUGUUUGUAUGGUGAAAAGUGUACUUUGUAUGGAGUAACUUCUAAAAUUGCCUUAUUAGUUCAGUGACCAUAUGCAUCACCCCUUACUUCUAUUUCUGAUUUUUUUUUGUGGGGAAUACGAUACAGUAUAACUUCGAUUUAAUAGUACUCAAUUCAACAAUUUUCCCAAUUUAAUGAUACAUUUCUCUGGUUCAGGUUGACUUAAUUAAAUGUCUAUGCUCCUCGAUUUAACGAUAAUUUUUUUUUCACUCCCUUAACAAUCGUUAAAUCGAGGUUAUACUGUAUGUGUAUAAUAUAUUCCAUGAUUGAUCUGGAUCUCAAACUCCAAACGCAACCUACUUUUUAAGUUCUAAAAGUUUUUUUUUUUCGACCCCCGCAAAUUUUAGCAAUAUGUUGUUUUAAAUGAAUCUUGAUCUUGUUUCUUUCGGAACCUCCCCUUCCUCACAUACAUUCUAGUGGAUCCUGAAGAGGUCUAAAGACACUCACCCCCUCUCAUUUUUUCUGUUUCUCAUUUCUGCCUCUGUUGUGUCAUGGAAGCCUUGUAUGUUUUAUGGUACGUCAAACUAAAGUCUUCAAAAUAGUAAAUGCAUCUCCCUAUUGCCAAGUUGUACGAUUUAGCCAUACAUUGUAAGAUUUUCAGAAGUUUUGUACGGUCUUAUGGCUGAUUUGUACGAUUUUUAGGAUUUUGGUUUUAAUUUUAUGAUAAAUUGCGAACGGAAGAAUUAUUUUGAACAAGUUUUAGAUAAUUUAUGAAAGCUGCAAAGCCAGCAACUUUUAGUUCAAAUUUUAAGUUCAAAAAAAAUUAAAUUUUAUUUAUUUAUGCUUAAAGUUAUGUUUUUUUGCUUAUAAAAGCACAAAUCAAAUCAAGGUCAGGAUUUGAAAAUAUUAUAAUAAUUUAAAUUUUAAUACUUUGUUUUAUGAUGGUCAAAAAGGGUAGAAAUGUAACCACCUCGCACAUUGUAAGAAUUUUUAAGCUGGCAUGUUGGCAGCUAUGCAUCCCCAAAUUACUCUUUAUUUUCUUAAAUUGUUCUCACAAUAUGUAGACUUAAAAUUUUGGUUUCUUUCAUUAUUUAUAUCUAAUAUUUAAUUUUUAUCAAUAUUAGUGAAGUUAGAAGUUUAAUUUUGCAUUAGCUAUUUUACUCAUUUUUCUUAUGUUAGCUACUUAAAUAGUUAUAUGAUACAGAAAUAAAAAAUGCAUUGGUCGAUGCACAGUCAUAAGAAAUUUUCUUUUUUCUGCCUUAAUAUUUAAUUAGGCACUUUUAAUACGAAUUGAAAUUGUUGCGUUACAAAAAAAUUAAUGAGCAUAAAAUAAAAUUUAAAAAGGAAUAUUAUAUUACUUUGUUAUAUUGAUGAUGUAUUAAUAUGUCAUAGAAAUAUAGUACAUAACUUUUUAGUUAUUUUUAAUGAUGGAAUAUUGAACCUAUAAUCAUAAACAACUCGCCAAAAAAUCAGGAAUACUAGAUGCAAGCCCCCCCCCCCAUCAAGUGACAAAGUUACUGGAUUAUAAGAAAUAAUACCAAAUUUUACCUCAGUAUGUUUCUUUGAAAAAAAAAAGUCACAUGACCAUUUUUAAAGAAUGGGCAAGAAGGUGAAUUGCUUAGAACAGUGGAACCUUGUAUAUUCGGACCAACUAGGGAGAAAUACAGUCUGGAUAAUUUAGACAACAAAAAGUCUAUGUAACCAAAUUACAUAGGAUUAUUUCAGGCAAACACUUGUCAUUGAUAGUUCAACUGCAGUGUUGUCGGACUGGUGCUUCAGGUAUGCCAUGAUUUUUAGAUUACUAUAAUUUAUUACAGGUUUUAUACAGGAGUUGAAUAUUUAAUUUUGACAAAGGAAGAAUCUUUUGAUUAUUUUUUCUGUUCUUACCAUCAUAAUCCAAAAUUAUUAUUUAAGUGAAUUUAAUUUUUUAAGGCUACAACCUUGAUCCAGAUGAAAGAAUUAUGAUAAUGUUAUUUUAUUUUUCAUUUACAUUCAGUUCUGAAUUGCAAACUAAUAAUUUCACAUUGCAUCUAAUUAGUGGAAGCUGUAUGUCAGACUAUGAAUUAUUUCAGGUUUUUUGUUUUACAUAUUUUGAAU